GAUGAACGCUGGCGGUGUGCCUAAUACAUGCAAGUCGUACGCAUUCUCGUUUCUGAUUGACGGUGCUUGCACCUGAUUGACGAGACAUUGGAAUGAGUGGCGGACGGGUGAGUAACACGUGGGUAACCUGCCCAGAAGCGGGGGAUAACAUUUGGAAACAGAUGCUAAUACCGCAUAACCACAGAAACCACAUGGUUUCUGUGUCAAAGAUGGUUUCGGCUAUCACUUUGGGAUGGACCCGCGGCGUAUUAGCUAGCUGGUAAGGUAAUGGCUUACAAAGGCAAUGAGACGUAGCCGAACUGAGAGGUUGAUCGGCCACAUUGGGACUGAGACACGGCCCAAACUCCUACGGGAGUCAGCAGUAGGGAAUCUUCCACAAUGGACGAAAGUCUGAUGGAGCAACGCCGCGUGAGUGAAGAGGGUUUUCGGAUCGUAAAACUCUGUUGUCAGAGAAGAACGUGUGCGAGAGUAACUGUUCGUGCAGUGACGGUAUCUGGCCAGAAAGCCACGGCUAACUACGUGCCAGCCGCCGCCGUAA
rnacentral:rRNA from 1 species